AAAGACUGACGCUCAUGCACGAAAGCGUGGGGAUCAAACAGGAUUAGAUACCCUGGUAGUCCACGCUGUAAACGAUGAUCACUCGUUGUUAGCGAUAUACUGUUAGCGACUGAGCGAAAGCAUUAAGUGAUCCACCUGGGGAGUACGGCGGCAACGUUGAAACUCAAAGGAAUUGACGGGGGCCCGCACAAGCGGAGGAGCAUGUGGUUUAAUUCGAUGAUACGCGAGGAACCUUACCUGGGCUUAAAUGUAGGACGACGUUUCGUGAAAGCGGAAUUUCCUUCGGGACGUCUUACAAGGUGCUGCAUGGUUGUCGUCAGCUCGUGCCGUGAGGUGUCGGGUUAAGUCCCAUAACGAGCGCAACCCCUAUCAUUAGUUGCCAUCAGGUCAAGCUGGGAACUCUAAUGAAACUGCCUACGCAAGUAGUGAGGAAGGUGGGGAUGACGUCAAAUCAGCACGGCCCUUAUGUCCAGGGCGACACACGUGCUACAAUGGCCAGUACAGAGGGUUGCGAA
rnacentral:rRNA from 1 species